AAUAGAGUAUUACAAGAAACAAUACAGAAAGAGGAAAAGAAGAGGCUAAGAGGGAGAAAGAGAGAAAGCGACAGACAGAGUGAGACAUGGCUGUGCUUAAGCAGCGGCCUGCAGCAGGCUGAAUUCCUAAAUGUAAUCUAAAACAUUGCUCCUGCUGUGGAGCAGAGCAGUUAGCCGAGGAGAGGAAGGAGGACAGAAGAAAGGCCAGGUCCUGAGGCCUUAGGGCCAGCUGGCAGGAAUCAUAUGGAACACUGGAAGAGCUCCACCCCGAAGUUUCUCCAGGUUCCUGGAGUACUCCAUCUCAAUCUCGGACUUCUUCCUGAAGAAGUCCUGCAGGUCCUGGAGGAGCUGCACCCUCAUCUCUGUCUGCUGGUCCAGGCAUUUCUGCUGCUCCACCAGCUGGGCACGGAUCUCUGAGGACACAGACAGACACAACCAAGUCAGAUGGAUGUCGAGAACCACACACACAAAAGUCAGAGGAGGACCUGAGCCCUAGGACCGUGUCCCAGGACUACCUGACAUGAUGACUCCUUGCUGUCCCCAGUCCACCUGGCCGUGCUGCUGCUCCAGUUUCAACUGUUCUGCAUUAUUAUUAUUCGACCAUGCUGGUCAUUUAUGAACAUUUGAACAUCUUGGCCAUGUUCUGUUAUAAUCUCCACCCGGCACAGCCAGAAGAGGACUGGCCACCCCACAUAUGCUCUCUCUAAUUCUCUCUUUCUUUCUCUCUCUCGGAGGACCUGAGCCCUAGGACCGUGCCCCAGGACUACCUGACAUGAUGACUCCUUGCUGUCCCCAGUCCACCUGACCAUGCUGCUGCUCCAGUUUCAACUGUUCUGCCUUAUUAUUAUUAUUAUUAUUCUACCAUGCUGGUCAUUUAUGAACAUUUGAACAAAUUUCAUUGGCCACAUACACAUGGUUAGCAGAUGAUAUUAAAGGAGCAUCAACAUCAACUGUUCUGUCUGUGGCUAUGGAACCCUGACAUGUUCACCGGACGUGCUACCUGACCCAGACCUGCUGUUUUCAACUCUCUACAGGAGUGGUAGAGAUACUCCUAAUGAUCGGCUAUGAAAAGCCAACUGACAUUUACUCCUAAGGUGCUGACUUGCUGCACCCUCGACAACUACUGUGAUUAUUAUUAUUUGACCAUGCUGGUCAUUUAUGAACAUUUGAAUAUCUUGGCCAUGUUCUGUUAUAAUCUCCACCCUGCACAGCCAGAAGAGGAUUGGCCAACCCUCAUAGCCUGGUUCCUCUCUAGGUUUCUUCCUAGGUUUUGGCUUUUCUAGGGAGUUUUUCCUAGCCACCGUGCUUCUACACGUGCAUUGCUUGCUGUUUGGGGUUUUAGGCUGGGUUUCUGUACAGCACUUUGCGAUAUCAGCUGAUGUAAGACGGGCUAUAUAAAUCAAUUUGAUUUGAUCAAGCUCAUCACCGUGCACUUUCACCACCCUGUGAAUUUCAUCGUAACUUAUUUUAUCUGUCCAAUAAACAGCAUGCUUUCCCAAAUCUUAGUGGGGCUCAAACAUCAUGGUUAGUAUAUCAAUAUUUGCACAUAAAAUAUGUUUCCACCACCAUUUCUCAAAUAAUUAAUUUUACAGACAAAAAUAUCCUACCUAGUCUAGCAUAUUUUGUGUUGUCAGCAUUUGGAAAGUUAACCAACAAAUGUUCUGUUUCCAUCCGGCCUGUUGUGAUAUUUUAUAAACAACAUGUACUUCAAUCAAAUAAAAAGGUUGGAUGGAAAUCUG